UUGUUUUCUUCACUCGUCAUUCAUCAGCCUUUCCAGGGCGCUCUGCACGAGGCCGUCACGUUAGGUAGCGUUGCCAACCUCUUGCAGCACCUGUGCACACACGAUGUAAGGCACGAAUGAAGUCAUGUAGCUUGGCAUGGGCUCUCCGUGUUUAACUGAGUGCUCCGCGUGAAGACAACAGUGGCGAGCAAGUGAACCCCAUUUGUAGUGCGUGGUAGCGGCUGUUUUCGCAGGUUCCGGGUGAUAGCUUCGUCACCAUCGGCUUCAGAACAGAGAAGACUUACUCCUGCAUCACGUUCUGACCGAGUAUAUUCACUACAAUGCCACUUACCAGUUCUGGAGCAUGAAUAGUAUAAAAGGAAUCGAACGAUAUCCUAAAGAGAUGACAGCGGACUAGUUGGUUUAACAUGAUUACGCCUAGAAUGCGUGCAGAGAAAUGCACCAAAGACGAGAACGCAAUGCAAGCGUUGUGUUCUCUUGAUAGUCAUCACUUGUGUUCUCGUUUCCUUCCGUCGUCUUUAGUAAACAUUGUAUCAUCGAUCA
rnacentral:misc_RNA from 1 species